AAGCUAUGAUGAAAAUUGCGCAAAAGUGGUUGAUUAGGGUCCUCCACUAUCUUCCCCCCUCUUGGAAGAAACGAUGUGCGCAUCUGAGCUU